rnacentral:rRNA from 1 species
GACGAACGCUGGCGGCGUGCUUAACACAUGCAAGUCGAACGGAAAGGCCCUGCUUUUGUGGGGUGCUCGAGUGGCGAACGGGUGAGUAACACGUGAGUAACCUGCCCUUGACUUGGGGAUAACUUGAGGAAACUGGGGCUAAUACCGGAUCGGAGCUCGUGCUGCAUGGUGGGGGUUGGAAAGUUUCGGCGGUUGGGGAUGGGCUCGCGGCUUAUCAGCUUGUUGGUGGGGUAGUGGCUUACCAAGGCUUUGACGGGUAGACGGCCUGAGAGGGUGACCGGCCACGUUGGGACUGAGAUACGGCCCAGACUCCUACGGGAGGCAGCAGUGGGGAAGAUUGCACAAUGGGCUGAAGCCUGAUGCAGCAACGCCGCGUGCGGGAUGACGGCAUUCGGGUUGUAAACCGCUUUCGCCUGUGACGAAGCGUGAGUGACGGUAAUGGGUAAAGAAGCACCGGCUAACUACGUG